GACGAACGCUGGCGGCGUGCUUAACACAUGCAAGUCGAGCGGUAAGGCCCUUUCGGGGGUACGACGAGCGGCGAACGGGUGAGUAACACGUGGGUGACCUGCCCUCAGCUCUGGGAUAAGCCUGGGAAACUGGGUCUAAUACUGGAUAUGACUCCACGGUGCAUGUCGUGGGGUGGAAAGCCUUGUGCGGCUGAGGAUGGGCCCGCGGCCUAUCAGCUUGUUGGUGGGGUGAUGGCCUACCAAGGCGACGACGGGUAGCCGGCCUGAGAGGGCGACCGGCCGACACUGGGACUGAGACACGGCCCCAGGACUCCUACGGGAGGCAGGCAGUGGGGAAUCUUGCGCAAAUGGGCGAAAGCCUGACGCAGCGACGCCGCGUGAGGGAUGACGGCC
rnacentral:rRNA from 1 species